rnacentral:rRNA from 1 species
UACGUAGGGGGCAAGCGUUGUCCGGAAUCAUUGGGCGUAAAGAGCGUGUAGGCGGCUCGAUAAGUCUGCUGUGAAAGUCCAGGGCUCAACCCUGGAAGGCCGGUGGAAACUGUCGGGCUAGAGUCCGGAAGAGGCGAGUGGAAUUCCCGGUGUAGCGGUGAAAAUGCGCAGAUAUCGGGGAGGAACACCAAUGGCGAAGGCAGCUCGCUGGGACGGUACUGACGCUGAGACGCGAAAGCGUGGGGAGCAAACAGG